rnacentral:rRNA from 1 species
GACGAACGCUGGCGGCGUGCCUAACACAUGCAAGUCGAGCGAGUGAAUCUCCUUCGGGAGUGAAGCUAGCGGCGAACGGGUGAGUAGCACGUGGGCAACCUGUCCUCUCGUGGGGGAUAACACCGAGAAAUCGGUGCUAAUACCGCAUGUCCUCGUCGGAGGCAUCUUCGACGAACAAAGCAGCAAUGCGCGAGGGGGUGGGCCCGCGGCCUAUCAGCUUGUCGGUGGGGUAACGGCUCACCGAGGCUUUGACGGGUAGCUGGUCUGAGAGGACGACCAGCCACACGGGGACUGAGACACGGCCCCGACUCCUACGGGAGGCAGCAGUAAGGAAUCUUCCGCAAUGGGCGAAAGCCUGACGGAGCGACGCCGCGUGUGGGAUGAAGUCUCUCGGGAUGUAAACCACUGUCGGAGGGGAAGAGAACGGACGGUACCCUCCAAGAAAGCCCCGGCUAACUACGUGCCAGCCGCCGCAGUAA